GCCAUUUGGAUGCAGUGUAUCCAUAUUGUAAACCCACUCCAUUUCUGUUUUGCCUAUCUUUUUAAUAAAAUCUCCUAUUUUAUUAAAAAGAUAGGCAAAACAGAAAUGGAGUGGGUUUACAAUAUGGAUACACUGCAUCCAAAUG
rnacentral:miRNA from 1 species